GAUGAACGCUGGCGGCGUGCCUAAUACAUGCAAGUCGAGCGAACAGAUGAGGCGCUUGCUCCUCUGACGUUAGCGGCGGACGGGUGAGUAACACGUGGAUAACCUACCUAUAAGACUGGGAUAACUACGGGAAACCGGAGAUAAUACCGGAUAAUAUAUUGAACCGCAUGGUUCAUUAGUGAAAGACGGUUUUGCUGUCACUUAUAGAUGGUUCCGCGCCGCAUUAGCUAGUUGGUAAGGUAACGGCUUACCAAGGCUACGAUGCGUAGCCGACCUGAGAGGGUGAUCGGCCACACUGGAACUGAGACACGGUCCAGACUCCUACGGGAGGCAGCAGUAGGGAAUCUUCCGCAAAGGGCGAAAGCCUGACGGAGCAACGCCGCGUGAGUGAUGAAGGUCUUCGGAUCGUAAAACUCUGUUAUUAGGGAAGAACAAAUGUGUAAUUAACUAUGGACGUCUUGACGGUACCUAAUCAGAAAGCCACGGCUAACUACGUG
rnacentral:rRNA from 1 species